AGUAACGCGUGGGUAACCUGCCUUAUACAGGGGGAUAACAGUCAGAAAUGAUUGCUAAUACCGCAUAAGCGCACAGAGCUGCAUGGCUCGGUGUGAAAAACUCCGGUGGUAUAAGAUGGACCCGCGUUGGAUUAGCUAGUUGGUGAGGUAACGGCCCACCAAGGCGACGAUCCAUAGCCGGCCUGAGAGGGUGAACGGCCACAUUGGGACUGAGACACGGCCCAG
rnacentral:rRNA from 1 species